rnacentral:ncRNA from 1 species
AUGAAGACAAAAAGAGAGACGAGUAGGUUUUAACAUUCUGUCAGUGAGUUGGGAUUAGUGCGAACCCGAUCAGACCCUGUUGAUUCUGAAUAACACUUUCUUAGUUUCUAACUGAAAUAACUCAUGUUAUAGUAGGCUUAGACGUUACCGGUACGUUACCAUUCGGAGGAGUAUGUUAGUACUCUUAUUGAGGUGGCUCAUUUAUGAGCAACUGGGGUGGUACCGCGAAAAGUCUUUCGUCCCUUUA